rnacentral:rRNA from 1 species
AUUAAGCCAUGCAUGUCUAAGUAUAAACGAUUUAAUCGUGAAACCGCGAAUGGCUCAUUAUAACAGCUAUAAUUUACUUGAUCUUGACACAAUCCUACUUGGAUAACUGUGGUAAUUCUAGAGCUAAUACAUGCAUUAAAGCUCUGACCUCACGGGAAGAGUGCAUUUAUUAGAACAAAACCAAGCGGCUUCGGCUGUUUCUGGUUGACUCAUAGUAACUGAGCUGAUCGCAUGGUCUUGCACCGGCGACGUGUCUUUCAAGUAUCUGCCGUAUCAACUUUCGAUGGUAGUGUAUCUGACUACCAUGGUGAUCACGCGUAACGGAGAAUAAGGGUUCGGCUCCGGAGAGUUCGCCUGAGAAAUCGCGAACACAUCUAAGGAAGGCAGCAGGCGCGAAAAUUACCCACUCUCAGCACGAGGAGGUAGUGACGAAAAAUAACGAGACCGUUCUCUUAUGAGGCCGGUCAUCGGAAUGGGUACAAUUUAAACCCUAAACGAGU